AGAAUCAACGCUGGCGGCGUGCCUAACACAUGCAAGUCGAACGAGAAAGUGGAGCAAUCCAUGAGUACAGUGGCGCACGGGUGAGUAACACGUGACUAACCUACCCUUGAGUGGGGAAUAACCUGGAGAAAUCUAGGCUAAUACCGCAUAACACCUACGGGUCAAAGGAGCAAUUCGCUUAAGGAGGGGGUCGCGGCAGAUUAGUUAGUUGGCGGGGUAAUGGCCCACCAAGACUAUGAUCGGUA
rnacentral:rRNA from 1 species